rnacentral:sRNA from 1 species
UAGAUCUGUCUAUGAUAGGGAAGGACAUAAGUACCCUUAUACAAGGAUACUUAUGUCCUUUUUCUUUAUCC